AGCUUUUUGUAUCCUUGCUGAGAUUUCGCCACACACCAGACCACAAGGGCUGAUGAGACUUCCCAGAAAGUGAAGCG
rnacentral:pre_miRNA from 1 species